AUCUGGGGACAGCCAUGUGGUGGUAGAGAGCGUCUGAUGUCUUGAACAGCUGUUGCCUGCCAAAAUGGACAAAGAACCAAGAGCAGCUGCAGGCCACGCACCACCACUGGGAUUGCUGUGACCUUCCUGCCUUGCCCCUGGGUCUUAAAUCACCAAACUCUAUGGCUCACACUGGGCUGACACUGCUGACCUUACAGCCUUGCAAAUGAUGUCAUCACCAUACGUUCUUCACUCAUGACGUGGCAUGGAUUUGACCAAAGGCGUGAUCAUGUUUAAAAUAAAAA
rnacentral:lncRNA from 1 species